CUCUUCCUCUGACGUCGUCAUUGAAGAGUGCCCACCGUCAAAGACACCUACUAGCGUCGCUAAAAGGCCACGUUUGAUGUAAGAGUCGAGCAGCAGUUCUCUCAUUCUCUUCUCUUCAUAUCUCGUCUCUCUCUACCCUCUCUCUCAAACUGCCAUCACCGUUGAGGAGCGUCAGUCACUAGAGAUGUGAGAGUCAAGCAGCAGCGUGGUGCCCUCACAGUCGGCGAUGUAAGCGAUCAGUCUAUCGAUGUGAGCGAUCUAGUCACUGCUUCAUAUUGGUGGUUUUCGAAUCGAUCUGGCAAUCGAAGUUUUUGGUGUUUUUGUUCGCGAUUGCAAAUGGUAAUAGUGGCGAGUGGUGGAGUUGUUGGCGGUGAUGGUGGUGGCGAUGUGGAUCUGAGAACGAUUUUUGUGUCGUGGUGUAGGUGGAUGUGUUAACAGUGGUGGUAGCGAUCACGGUUGUGUUGGAGGUUGUGAUGGUGAUGGUGAUGACAGUGGUAGUGGUAGUGGUAGUGGUGCUAUGUACUGGUGACAGACACAUGGUGAGGGUGGUCACAAGUGCAGUGGUGGUGGUGGUGGUGGUGGUGUUGGUAGCGUGGCGUGUGACACACUAUCUAGUGUAUGUGACCAAUUAUUUGGUUAUCUAUGACCAAGUAUUAAAUUG
rnacentral:lncRNA from 1 species